rnacentral:lncRNA from 1 species
AUGGUGCAAAUCUUCUAUAAUAUGAGGCAUCCCAAGACCCGUCCUGUAUGCAUGUCUCUGAUUCCACGCUCAGAGUUUAAGCCACAGCCAUUGCUCACACCAGCUGAGCAGGAGCUGAGUCCAUCCACCAUCUCAGCAGGACUGGUUGGGUAAAGAACAUGGAAUAUAAAAUAAAUGAAAGUGACACACAUCA